rnacentral:tRNA from 1 species
GGAGGGGUGUCCGAGUGGUCUAAGGAGGCGGUCUUGAAAACCGCUGUUCCCUUUUGGGGACCGUGGGUUCGAAUCCCACCCCCUCCGCCA